CCUACGGGUGGCAGCAGUGGGGAAUAUUGCGCAAUGGGGGCAACCCUGACGCAGCAACGCCGCGUGAUUGAAGAAGGCCUUCGGGUUGUAAAGAUCUUUAAUCAGGGACGAAAAUUGACGGUAUCUUCAAAGGAAGCACCGGCUAACUCCGGGCCAGCCGCCGCGGUAAUACGGAGGGUGCGAGCGUUAAUCGGAAUUACUGGGCGUAAAGCGCACGUAGGCUGUAUGACAAGUCAAGGGUGAAAUGCCACGGCUCAACCGUGGAACUGCCUUUGAAACUGUCAAACUGGAGUAUGUGAGAGGGCGGCGGAAUUCGUGGUGUAGGAGUGAAAUGCGUAGAUAUCAGGAGGAACAUCAGUGGCGAAGGCGGCCGCCUGGCACAAAACUGACGCUGAGGUACGAAAGCGUGGGUAGCGAACAGGAUUAGAUACCCCGGUAGUC
rnacentral:rRNA from 1 species